rnacentral:rRNA from 1 species
UACGUAGGGACCAAGCGUUGUUCGGAUUUACUGGGCGUAAAGGGCGCGUAGGCGGCCUGACAAGUCACUUGUGAAAUCUCCGGGCUUAACUCGGAACGGCCAAGUGAAACUGUCAAGCUAGAGUGCGGAAGGGGCAAUCGGAAUUCUUGGUGUAGCGGUGAAAUGCGUAGAUAUCAAGAGGAACACCUGAGGUGAAGACGGGUUGCUGGGCCGAGACUGACGCUGAUGCGCGAAAGCCAGGGGAGCAAACGGG